rnacentral:snRNA from 1 species
GUGCUUGCUUGGGCAGCACAUAUACUAAAAUUGGAAUGAUACAGAGAUUAGCAUGGCCCCUGCACAAGGAUGAUAUGCAAAUUGGUGAAGCAGUUCAUAUUUGG